rnacentral:rRNA from 1 species
GACGAACGCUGGCGGCGUGCUUAACACAUGCAAGUCGAACGGGCCCGCUAUCUUUUUUGGGGGUGGGUUGAGUGGCGAACGGGUGAGUAUCACGUGAGUAACCUGCCCCCUGCUCCUGGAUAACUGCUUGAAAGGGCGGCUAAUACGGGGUGUGCCGGCUGGUCCGCAUGGGCCUGGUCGGGAUAGUUUCAUCUUCGGGUGUUUCGGUGGGGGAUGGGCUCGCGGCCUAUCAGCUUGUUGGUGGGGUGAUGGCCCACCAAGGCGGUGACGGGUAGCCGGCCUGAGAGGGUGGGCGGCCACACUGGGACUGAGACACGGCCCAGACUCCUGCGGGAGGCAGCAGUGGGGGGUAUUGCACAAUGGGCGGAAGCCUGAUGCAGCGACGUCGCGUGAGGGAUGGAGGCCUUCGGGUUGUGAACCUCUUUCUCCGGUGGUGAAGGCCCUGUCCGUUGCGGCGGGGUUGACGGUAGCCGGGUAUGAAGCGCCGGCUAACUACGUG